AGGUACAGCCAAAAAGGAAAAACCGCGGGACGCUGGCGGCUGACAUCACAGGUAGGAGGAAACGUGAGUUCCCGGGCAGGACAGACGGGCAGCCAGCUGCUGUCCCUUGUGCUGGGCAGGCCCUGGAGACACUGUCUGCUGGGUUGGUAGGGAAGGACUGGUGAAUUCGACCC
rfam:TPA: Bos taurus chromosome 17, whole genome shotgun sequence.